UUUUGCUUUGCGCACCGCUCAUUUUCAUCAUUCUGUAGCCGAACGUUGCCGCGUCAAGUUACGCUUACGCUAAAUAUUCUUCGUGUACGCAAAAAAAAAAAAAACAACAUAAAGAAUUGUUGUCUGCCUGUGUGUGUGUGUGAGUGUCUGUGCAGCAGCGAAAAUCAAUAACAAAGCGCAAGACGCUAACAAAACAGCAGAUAAAAAAAAAAAAAAAACAAGUUUCGCAGACGGACAUGGCUAUAGCCUGUCAGCUUGUCGCGCU